UAGCGGCAGGCCUAACACAUGCAAGUCGAGGGAGAGGUUACCUUCGGGUAACCAAAACCGGCGCACGGGUGCGUAACGCGUAUACAAUCUGCCUUUCACAUAGGGAUAGCCCGAAGAAAUUUGGAUUAAUACCUAAUGGUAUAUAAGAGCGGCAUCGUUUUUAUAUUAAAGCUACGGUGGUGAAAGAUGAGUAUGCGUUCUAUUAGCUAGUUGGAGAGGUAACGGCUCCCCAAGGCGACGAUAGAUAGGGGUUCUGAGAGGGAUGUCCCCCACACUGGUACUGAGAUACGGACCAGACUCCUACGGGAGGCAGCAGUGAGGAAUAUUGGACAAUGGUCGGAAGACUGAUCCAGCCAUGCCGCGUGCAGGAUGAAGGUCCUAUGGAUUGUAAACUGCUUUUGUAAGGGAAGAAUAAGGGGUACGUGUACUUUGAUGACGGUACCUUACGAAUAAGCAUCGGCUAACUCCGUGCCAGCAGCCGCGGUAAUACGGAGGAUGCGAGCGUUAUCCGGAAUCAUUGGGUUUAAAGGGUCCGUAGGCG
rnacentral:rRNA from 1 species